GAUGAACGCUGGCGGCGUGCCUAAUACAUGCAAGUCGAGCGAACAGACGAGGAGCUUGCUCCUCUGACGUUAGCGGCGGACGGGUGAGUAACACGUGGAUAACCUACCUAUAAGACUGGGAUAACUUCGGGAAACCGGAGCUAAUACCGGAUAAUAUAUUGAACCGCAUGGUUCAAUAGUGAAAGACGGUUUUGCUGUCACUUAUAGCUGGAUCCGCGCCGCAUUAGCUAGUUGGUAAGGUAACGGCUUACCAAGGCAACGAUGCGUAGCCGACCUGAGAGGGUGAUCGGCCACACUGGAACUGAGACACGGUCCAGACUCCUACGGGAGGCAGCAGUAGGGAAUCUUACGCAAUGGGCGAAAGCCUGACGGAGCAAGGCCGCGUGAGUGAUGAAGGUCUUCGGAUCGUAAAACUCUGUUAUUGGGGAAGAACAGAUGUGUAAGUAACUAUGCACGUCUUGACGGUACCUAAUCAGAAAGCAACGGCUAACUACGUG
rnacentral:rRNA from 1 species